GUGGGGAAUUUUGGACAAUGGGCGCAAGCCUGAUCCAGCAAUGCCGCGUGCAGGAAGAAGGCCUUCGGGUUGUAAACUGCUUUUGUACGGAACGAAACGGUCCGGGUUAAUACCCUGGGCUAAUGACGGUACCGUAAGAAUAAGCACCGGCUAACUACGUGCCAGCAGCCGCGGUAAUACGUAGGGUGCAAGCGUUAAUCGGAAUUACUGGGCGUAAAGCGUGCGCAGGCGGUUUUGUAAGACAGGCGUGAAAUCCCCGGGCUCAACCUGGGAAUUGCGCUUGUGACUGCAAGGCUGGAGUGCGGCAGAGGGGGAUGGAAUUCCGCGUGUAGCAGUGAAAUGCGUAGAUAUGCGGAGGAACACCGAUGGCGAAGGCAAUCCCAUGGGCCUGCACUGACGCUCAUGCACGAAAGCGUGGGGAGCAAACAGGAUUAGAAACCCCUGUAGUCC
rnacentral:rRNA from 1 species